GAGCGCGCUCCGCGGCGGAGCGGGGCGCGGACGGAGCGGCGCGGACGGAGGGCGAGGGUCCCCGCUGCGGGGUGUCGGGAGGAGGGUGUCUGGCGGGGCGGGGCGGGGGCCUGCCGCGUCCUGAAAGCUGUCUGGUUCCCUCGGCAGCGGCCGCCCCGAGUUAGCGAGUGUCAGACUCCCCUCUUCUAGCCUCCGGCCGGGCCGGGCUCCGUGGCGGCCGGGGACGCAGCGCGCGGCGAGCCCCCAGCUGUCAGGGAGCGGCGGGCGGGCGGCGACUCACAAAGACGGAGGGGCGGGGGGGCCACAGGGACCGCACCUCCCACCUCCCGCCCGGCCGGUCCGCGGCCGCGGGGACAAUGCGGCCGGGCCCGGGCCCCACGCGCCCCGGCCCGGCCCGGCCCGACCCGACCCGACCCGACGGCCCCGCCCGGGGACGGAAGUCGGCCAGCGGCCCCGCGCCCCGCGUUUCGCGAGCCGGGAAAAGUUUGACCCCGAGGCCAGCGUCCGGCCGAGGCCCCGCGCGGGGUGGCGGGUGACCUACCCCGUAGACCUGGGGGCCGCAGGAGGCUAGAGGUACGGAGCCCACCGUGUCUUCCCGGUUUGAAAACACAUCUUGGUCGGAAAAUUUCCCUGGGGCCUCAACGUGGUUCGCGAAUUGCGAAGCCGCAGGCCCGGGUACGUUUCCGUGCGCCCGGAGUCACCUUUCAGCCUGCGAAGUAACUUUUAAGUCUGAUGUUUUUUCAACAUUACUAUGAGAAGGCUUCUUUCAGUGAAAAGCAGCCCCCCAGUUAUCCAGGUUCUCAUGUUUAAGCUCAGAGUUUGGGGAUUUCCAAAUCCACCGGCUGAAAACACCACACAGCCGGCUGGGUAGCCCUGACCACCAUGACAGUCAGCAGCAGGGAACCCCCAAGAGUCGGCACCUCGCUGCUGAGGCUCGGUGUCCUGAAGCUUGAGGGAACAGAAGGGCCUGGGGACCCAGGCUGCUGCAUUACUUGAGUUACUGAAUGACCUCGGGGGCCACGGUGUUCAGGUUUGCAAGAUCUACCAUUAAGAGAAACUGCAAAAAGAGUACAUGGGAUCUCUCUGUAUUAUUUCUCAUGACUUCACGUGAUUCAAAUUGUCACAAAAUAAAAUGUUCUAUUUAAAAAAUUUUUUCAGAAAACAAUCCCAUUUACAAUUGUAUCAAAAAGAAUAGAAUACCUAGAAAUGAACUUAACCAAGGAGGCGAAAGACCUGUCCCAUACACUGAAAACUGUAGCACACCGAGGAAAGGCAGACAAGAAAAAAUAAAUGUAAAGAUACUUCAUGCUCAUUGAAGGUAUUUUCUCAAUUAAUUUUGUUAAUUGGAAGAAUUAAUAUUGUUAAAAUGUCUAUAUUACCAAUCUACAGAUUCAGUGCAAUCCCCAUAAAAAUCCCAAUAGCACUUUUCACACAAAUAGAACAAUCUUAAAAUUUGUAUGGAACCACAAAAGACACUGAACAGCCAAAGCCGUCUUGAGAAAGAACAACAAAGCUGGAGGCAUCAUGCUCCCUGAGUUCAAACUAUAUUGCAAAGCUAUAUAGCUAUCAAAACAGUACGGUACUGGCAUAAAACAGACAUAUAAGUCAAUGGAACAGAACAAAGAGGCCAGAAAUAAACCCACACAUAUAUGGUCAAUUAAUUUAAAACAAAGUUGUCAAGAAUAUACAACGGGAAAAGGAUAGUCUCUUCAAUAAAUGGUAUUGAGAAAACUGGACAGCUAUAUGCAAAAGAAUGAAGCUGGGGUAGGGGCAAUGACUCUUUUCCCCACUGUGCAAUUUAAUAAGAGUUACAAAAUACACAGAAGAACCAAACAGAACUAAAGAAUACAAUAACUGAAAUGAAAAAUACACUAGGAUGGAUCAACAGCAGAUUAGGUGAUAUAGAGGAAUGGGUCAGGAAGCUGGAAGACAGAGUAAUGGAAAUCACUGAAAUUAAACAGAAAAAAAGAAGACUUUUUAAAAAAUGAGGACAGUUUAAGACACUUGUGGGACAACAUCAAGCGUACUGACAUUUGUGUUAUAGAGGUCCCAGAAGAAGAAGAGAAAGGGGCAGAAAAUAUAUUUGGACAUAUAAUAGCUGAAAACUUCCCUAACCUGGGAAAGAAAGCGGACAUCCAGGUCCAGGAAGCAGAGAGUCCCAAACAGGAUCAACCCAAAGAGGUCCACACCAAGACAUGUUGUAAUUAAAAUAGUAAAAAUUAAAGAGAAAAUAUUAAAGCAACAAGGGAAAAGCAAUAAGUUACAUACAAGGGAACUCCCAUAAAACUAUCAGAUGACAUUUCGGCAGAAACUCUGCAGGGCAGAAGGGAAUGGCACAAUACGAAGUCAUGAAAGGAAAAAACCUACAACUAGAAUACUCUACCUAGCAAGGCUUUUAUUCGGAUUUGGUGGAGAUAAUCAAAGUUCUACAAACAAGCAAAAGCUAAAAGAGGUCAGCACCACCAAACCUUUACAAGAAAUUUUAAAGUGACUUCUCUAAACAAACAAACAAAAACAGGCCACAACUGGAAACAUGAAAAAUACAAAAGGAAAAAUCUCAUAGGUAAAUGCAAAUAUACAAUAAGGGUAGUAAAUCAACCACAUAUAAAACUAGUAGGAAGGCUAAAAGACAAAAGUAGUAAAAUUAAUGUCAGAAAUAAGUUGUCAAGGUAUAUACAAAACAAAAUAUGUAAAAUAUGAUGUCAAAAAAAGUAAAUAUGUUGAGGGGGAGUAAAAAUGCAGGGUUGCUGAAAUGCAUUUGAACUUAAAUGAUCAGCAACUUAAAAUACUCAUACACACAUAUAUGGAUUGCUAUAUAUAAACCUUAUGGUAACUAUAAACCAAACAUCUAUAAUAGAUACACAUGCAGAAAAAAAGGAACCCAAACAUAACACUAAAGAUAGUCACUAUGCCACAAGGGAAGAGAAGAGGAAAGGAAAUGAAGAAGAGAGGAACAAAAGAAGAAGUUAUAAAAAAAAAAAAAAUAAAAGAACUAUAAUGCAACCCAAAAGAAAUUAGCAAAAUUUCAAUAAAUUCAAACCUAUCAAUAACUACUUUAAAUGUAAGUGGACUAAAUGCUCAAAUUAAAAGACACAGAGUGGCUGAAUAGAUGCAAAAAUAAAACCCAUAUAUAUCCUGCCUUCAAGAGACACACUUCAGACCUAAAAACAUACAUAGACUGGAAGUGAGAGAAUGGAAAAGGUAUUCCAUGUGAGUGUAAAUGAAAGGAAAGCCAGGGUAGUAAUACUUACAUCAGACAAAAGAGACUUUAAAACAAAGUUUGUAAAAAGAGACAAGAACAUUACAUAGUGAUCAAGAGAUCAAUCCAAGAGGGAGAUAUAACAAUUAUAAAGAUAUAUGCAUGUAAUAUAGGCGUAGCUAAAUACAUAAAACAAAUAUUAACAGACAUAAAGGGAGAAACUGACAGUAACACAAUAAUAGUAAGGGCCUUUAACACCACACUUACAUCACAGAACACCCAGACAGAAAAUCAGUAAGGAAACACUGGUUUAAAUUACAUAUUAGUCCAGAUAGACUUAAUGGAUAUAUAUAGAACAUUAUAUCCAAAAGCAGUAGAAUGCUCAUUCUUUUCAAGUGCACAAAGAACAUUCUCCAGGAUAAAUCACAUGCAAGGCCACAAAACAAUUCUCAAUAAAUUUCAGAAGAUAAAAAUCAUAUCAAGCAUCUUUUCCAAACACAAUGAUAUGAGACUAGAAAUCCAUUAUAAGAAAAUAAACUGCAAAAAACACAAACAUAUUGAGGCUAAACAAUGUGUUACUAAACAUCCAAUAAGUCACUGAAGAAAUGAAAGAGAAAAAAAAAAAACUGGAUACCAAUGAAAAUAAAAACACAAUCGAAAACCUAUAGGAUACAGCAAAAGCACUUCUUAAAGGGAAGUUUAUAGCAAUACAAGUCUAUCUUGGGAAAUUAAAAAAAAAAUCUCAAAAAAUAAAACAUAACAUUAUACCUAAAGGAAAUAAAAAACAAAGAUCAAAGAAAAUCCAAAUUUAGUAGAAGGAAAGUAAUAAUAAAGAUCAGAGCAGAAAUCAGUAAAAUAUAGACUAAAAUAACAAUGAAAAUCAAUGAAACUAACAUCUGAUUCUUUAAAAAGAAACAAAAUUGAUAACCCUUUAGCUAGACCCAUCAAGAAAAAGAAAGGCCCCAUAUAAAUAAAAUCAGAAAUGAAAGAGAAGUUACAACCAAUACCACAGAAAUACAUAAGGUCAUAAGAGAUUACUGUGAACAAGUAUACAACAAUAAAAUGGAUGACCCAGAAGAAAUGACAAAUUUCUAGAAAUUGCAAUCUCCCAAGACUGAAUUAGGAAGAAAUAGAAAGUAGAAAAGGCCAAUUACCAGCAAUGUAAUUGAAUCAGUAAUUUAAAACUCUCAACAAACAAAAAUUUAGGACAAGACAGCUUCAAAGGUGAAUUCUACCAAAUAUUUAAAGAAGAGUUAAUACCUAUGUUUCUCAAACUAUUCCAAAAAACCUAAAGAGGAAGGAACACUUCUGAACUCAUUUUAUGAAGCCAGCAUUACCCUGAUAUCAAAACCAGACAAAGACACCAUAAAACAAAACCAAAUAUCAAUGAUGAACAUAGAUGCCAAAAUUCUCAGUAAAAUAUUAGCAAACCAAAUUCAACAGUACAUUAAAAGGGUCAUAUCACAUCAUCAAAUGGGAUUUAUCUCAGGGAUGCAAGGAUGGUCUGAUAUAUGGAAAUCAAUCAGUGUGAUACACCACAUUAACAAAUUGAAGAAUAAAAAUCAUAUGUUCAUCUCAGUAGAUGCAGAGAAAGUUUUUGACAAAAUUCAACAUUCAUUUAUGAUAAAAACUCACAACAGAGUAUAAAGGGAAUAUACUUCAUCAUAAAUAAAGGACACAUACGACAAAGCCCACAGGUAUUAUCAUACUCAAAGGUGAAAAGCUGGAAGCUUUUCUUCUAAGAUCAGGAACAAGACAGGGAUGCCCACUCUUGUCAUUUUUAUUCAGUAUUGCAUUGGAAAUCUAGACACAGCAACAGACAAGAAAAAGAAAGAAACAGAAUCCAAGUUGGAAAAGAAUAAGUGAAACUGUCACAAUUUGCCAAUGACAUAAUACCAUAUACAGAAAAUGUUAAAAAUGACACCACAAAUCUAUUAGAACUAAUAAAUGAAUUCAGUAAAGUUGUAGGAUGCAAACUAAAUACAUAGAUGUCUGUUAUGUUUCUAUACAUUAACAAUACACUAUCAGAAAGAAAAAUUAAGAAAAUCCCAUUUACAGUCACAUCAAAAAGAAUGAAAUAGCUAGGAAUAAAUCUAAACAAAGGAAGUAAAAGAGCUAUACUCAGAGAACUGUAAGACAUUGCUGAAAGAAACUGAAGGCAACACAAACAAAUGAAAAGAUUUACCAUGCUCAUGGGUUGGAAGAAUUAAUAUUGUUAAAAUGACUGUACUACCCAAGGCACUCUUCAGAUUCAAUGCAGCCCCUAACAAAAUACCAAAGGCAUUUUUCACAGAACUAGAACAAAUAAUUCUAAGAUUUGUAUAGAAACACAAAAGACUCCAAGUAGCCCAAGCUGUCUUGAGAAAGAAGAAUAAAGCUGGAGGUAUCAUGAGCCCUGACUUCAAACUAUACUACAAAGCUACAGUAAUCAAACAGUAUGGUUACCAGCACAAAAGAAAAAAAAAAAAGACACACAGAUCAACGGAACGGAAUGGAGAGCCCAGAAAUGAACCCAGACUUAUAUGGGCAAUUAAUCUAUGACAAGGGAGGCAAGAAUAUACAAUGGGGAAAAGACAGCCUUUUCAGUAAAUUGUGCUGGGAAAACUGGACAGCUACAGGCAACUAGACAACUUUCUCACGAUAUAUAAAGAUAAACUCAAAAUGGAAUAACAGCUUAAAUGAAUCCAUAAAACUAGAAGAAAACAUAGGCAGCACACCCUUGACGUUGGCCUUAGCAUAAUUUUUUUGGAUAUGUCUCCUCAGGAAAGGAGGAAAUAAACAACUGGGACACAUCAAACUAAAAAGGUUUUUUCACAGCAAAAGAAACUAUCACCAAAACAAAAAGGCCACCUACGGAAACGAAAAAGAUAUUUGCAAAUGACAUGUCUGAUAAAAGGUCAAUAUACAAAAUAUACAAAGAAUAUGUACAACUCAACAGCAAAAGAAAAAAUAACCCAAUUCAAAAAGUGAGUAGAGAACCUGAAUAGACAUUUCUCCAAAGAAGACACACAGAUGGCCAACAGACCCAUGAAAAGCUGCUCAACAUCACGAGUCUUCAGGGAAAUGCAAAUCCAAACCAGAACGGUAAGGAAGCCCAUUAUCUCCAUUGGUGUCUAGUGUUUUUAAUGGUAAUAAUCAAUGCAAUUAGACUAGAGAAAACCACCAGAGGCACAAGAGUAAUAAAUCUAUCUCUAUCUGCAGAUGACAUGACUGUAUGCAGGGGACGUCCUGGAGAAUCAAUGCUAAAAUGAAUUCAAACAAUAAAAUAAUUAUAAAAGUAGUAGGAUAUAAAAUUAAUAUGUAAAAGUCAGUAGCAGUCAUAUACAAAAAUAAUAACCAGUUAGGAGAUAUAAUAAAUGCACAAAUCAUUCACAAGAUAACAAAAAAGAUAAAAUAUUUAGGAACAGACUUCAUAAGAAAUGCCCCGAAUCUAUUUGAAGAAAACAAUAAAACACUUCUGUAAGACACAAAAAUGGGCUUGAAAAAAUGGAAAGACAUUUCUUAUUCUUUCUUAGCACAUCUCAACAUCAUCAAAUUGUCAAUUCUCCUUAAUUUACAAGUGUAAUCUGAUUCCAAUAAAAAUUCCAAUGGGUUUUUUUAUAAAGCUGGAUACACUGGCCCUAAAUUUCAUAUGCAGAAUAAAGACAACAGUCAGAGAGAUGCAGGGGAAGAGAGGAGCAGAGAAGAAGUGAGGUAGAAGCAGAGUCUGAAAAACUCAGAGCAUGAGAAUGAUUGACCCACCGUUGCCGCCUUGAUAACGCUAGCCAAGUAAUGUGAACAGACCUUAGAAGCUGAGAACAACCACCAGCUUAUGGCCAGCAGGGAGAGGAGGAGCUCAGUCCUGCAACCACAUUCAACUAAAUUCUACCAACAGAAGGAAUGAUCUUGGAAGCCAGUUCCUCCCCAGAACCUCCAAAAAAAGAACGCAGAUUUGAUGUCAUCUUGAUUUCAACCUUGAGAAACCAGAGCAGGGAACAAACCAAGCCAACCAAAGGUCUGACCCACAGAAACAUGCAAGUACUGUACACAGACCAGCAUGAAGAUGAUGACAGAGUCUGCUGGGGAACGUGAGAUGAAAUGAAUAAAUAUGGUUAGUUUUGGGCAAAAAAAAAAAUUAUUAAAUUACACAGAAUUCAUCUAUUUUUAAAAUAUAGGUGAAAAGAGUCAAGAAGAUUUUGAAAGAAGUACAUUGAGCCUUGCCUUACCCAGAUACUAAAAAUUGUUGUAAGCUACAGUAAUUAAAAUACAAUAGUACUAUUCAAAAAUAGACAAAUAUAUUGAUGAAAUAGAAAAUAAAGCCUGUUUACAAAGUUGUCAGAGGAGGGUAUAGCUCAGUGGUAGAGCGCAUGCUUAGCAUGUACAAGGUCCUGGGUUCAAUCCCCAGUACCUCCACUAAAAACAUAAGUAAAUACAUAAACCUAAUUACCUUCGCCCCCAAGUUUUUUAAUUGUGUAUAUGAUAAAGAUCGUUAAAAAACAAUAAAGAUUAAAUUAUCUAGUAAAUAAUACUAGAACAAUUAGUUAACAACAAAAAGUAGUUCUUCACCUUGUAGAGUAAAAUAAAUUGUAACUCAAUGAAAGAGUUAAGUAUUUCUUAAAAGCCAAAUAGGUGAAUAUAUGAUCUAAAGAUGAGAGAAAGUUUUCUAAGAAUUAAAGCAAUUUUCAAAAAUCCACAAGAUAAAGGACCAAUAUAAAGAUAAUUAAGACCUUACAAAUCAAAAUAUGCCAAACUAUGAAAAAUAAUUUGGAGAAAUAUCUACAAAUUUUGUGACAGUGAGAAUACUAACAGUCAUAAUAUGUGAGCACUCAAAUAAUUAAGAUAGAGACUUUAAUAGAAAAAUGGAAAAAUGUAUCAAAUGAUAAUUCACCAAUGACAUAAAAAUGAUAAAAUGCUUAAAAGUUUCAACAGCAAUAAUAGUCACGAAGGUUUCUAAAGUGAAAGUUCUCUAAAUUGAGGGCAAUCUCCUCUGAAAGUUAAGCGCUCAUGAGAUGGUUCAUUGGCUUAUUACAGCCACAUAAAAUUGAAUAAAGUGAUGUGAUAUAUCUUUUGAGAUGCAUUUUUUAAAGCUCUGGACUAUGUCAGUGGAGUAUAAAAUCCUAUUGAUCAACUAGUAUGUGUGGCUGGCCUUGAGAUUACAAAAGUUUUUUCCAGAAUUAAUGGAAGAAAUAGUUGUUUCUUAGGAAAUCCUAUUAGGAAUAUAAUUUUGUAAAUGUUAUUUUACGCUAGAGACAAAAGAAAAUGUACUUUGAUGAUAAACAUAAGUUUUAUAGGAUCCUAUAGAGAUUAAAUAGAUGAAGUACUUUUCACAGUCAGGAAUAAUGGCUGUUAUUGCCCUGUAUUUACAAAAGCAGGUCCCAUAAUCCAAGACUAGUAUGAUUUAUUAAUGAUAAUAUAGUGAAAGCCGCCUUGGUGUUGAUGAAAUUUUUAGUUUUACUGAAAACUGAAAAAACAGAAGAGUAGCUAGGAAGUGACUGACUAUGAAGACCUGUAAGGGGGGGAGGGCAGGGGCAGGCAGAAUUAAAGAUACACUACAAAGUGCUUUCAUUAAACAGUAUGGAACAGGAACAAGAAUAAGCCAUCAGAUCAAUGGAUAGAAUAAAACCUCGAGCUAUUGAUCCAACUACAUACAAAAUCUAGUUUAUGAUCAAAGUGGUACCUUGAAUCACUGGAGGUGCAGAUAUCUUGAUGCUGUGUUUCACGUAUGUGUAGGGACAACUAGAUGGCUGUUUGGAAAAAUAUAAAAGCAGAUCCAUUCUUUCUGUCACAUCCAAGAAUAAACUCCAAAUGGAUCAGAGACACAAAUAUAUAAAGUACAUCUCUGCAAACAGCAGAAGAAUACAUGAGCAGAUUCCUCUAAAAUGCACAUGCAAGGAAAGGCUUUCUAACUGUGACUAAAAUCUCAGAUGCAAUUUCAAAAAAGAUUGUUAUAUUUGACUACGUACUAAUAAAAAAUUUUUUUGUGGCAAGAAAAAAAAUUGAUUAAAGUCAAAGACAACUGACAAACUGGGAGAACAGAGUCAUAGCAUGUAUCACAGAUAAAGGGUUAAGUUCCCCAUUUAUUGAGACUUCUGUUUCACUGAUAAAAAGCAACCUGUAGAAAAAUGGGCAGAGACAACAACUCAAGAAGAAAUAUAAAAAUGGCCCUUAAUCAUAAGAAAAGAUGUGCAGCUUCAUUCAAAGAAAAGAAAUGCAAAUUAAAACUACAAUGAAAUUCCAUUUUUCACCCAUUAAGUUGACAAAAUUCAAAAGCUCUACAAUAUUCUCUGACGAUGAGGCAGUGUAGACAGGCACCGCCACGUUGCCGUUGGACAUGAAAGACGGUACAACCCCUGUGCUGUGAACCAGGAGCUAACACAGCGUUGUAGGGCAAUUACACUUCGAAACAAAAACAAUCAUACAGACUCAAAGAAAAGAGAUUAAAUUUGUGAUUACCAGAGGCAGAGUAUGGGGAGAGGGGAAACUGGAUAAAGGCAGUCAAAAGGUAUAAAUUUCCAAUUAUAAGGUAAAUGAGUACUAAGGAUAUAAAGUACAACAUGAUAAUUAUAAUUAACACUGCUGUACAUUAUAUGUGAAAGUUAUUAAAAGAGUAAAUCCUAAGAGUUCUCAUCACAAGGAAAAAAAACUUGCCUAUUUCUUUACAAGAUGAUGGAUGUCCAUGAUAAUCACUUAUUGUGCUAAUCACUUCAUGAUGUAUAUAAGUCAAAUCAUAUGCUGUACACCUUAAACUUAUCCAGUGCUGUAAGUCAAUUAUAUCUCACUAAAACUGGAAGAAAAAUAAUCUCCUUCCGUUUACAAAAACAGUGUGGUACCACCUCUGUGGAGGAGAAUUUGAGAAUUUCGCAUCAGCUAUAUGUAACUAAAUCUCAGCACAGAAUUCCCUCCAUGAAUUUUUAUCCUGAAAAUGUAUCCCCGACAAUAUAAAAAUAUGCAUGUACUAUAUGCACAAAGUCUUUCACUGAAUAUUAUUUGUCAUGUCUAGGCAUAGGAGGUUGAGUGAAUAAACUAUGGUGUAUAAUACACACACACACACACAAUGGAAUACCAUGCUGGGAGGGAAGCAGGGAGGAACCAUCAAUCUGAGUAAUUUAUAAAUAUUUGACAAUAUUUGACUAUAUACCCUUGGGGUAGAGGAGGAGGGAGAACUUUAAACAAAUCCCAAAUUCACCUUUGUAGACUGUUUAUUGUCAUGGCAUGAGCAAAGCAAUUCUGAAACUAUUUCAGACAUACUAAAGAAUCGACCAAAUGAGUACAUGUGUUGAUGCUGUUGGAAGCCAUACUUUUCACUAUGGAAAGAAGGACCAACACACAAAUAUGGAAUGCUAGAAGGCAAAAGAGAACCCUUCGGGAGUGGAUUGGAACAGGAGGUAUUGGUAUAAACUCAAGACUUUAGAGAGAGAGAUGGAUAGACAGAGGUAUACACAUACGUAUGCAUGUAUAUGUGUAUGAUGUAAGCUGGUUUGCAAGUAUACACAUAUAUACAUACACAUAUAUGCACAUAUAUGUAUGCGUAUGUAUAUAUGUAUGGGAGUAUAUUGGUAUGCAGGUAUAUGCAUAUGUGUAUACGUAUGAACACACACACACACACACACUCACACACACACACGUAGAUUUUCCAGCUGUCUUUAUGGGAAGGGCCCAAGAGCAAAGACCAAGAGCAGCAAACCUGGCACCAAGACCUUGGUCCUCACUCAGAGGAACUAAGGCUUCUAGGAGAAAUGGCUGAUUCCAGGGCUGGUUCCCAAUGAGACAGGCUGCCUGUAGCAUCCAGCACCUGUGCUCCUGUGCUCUCCAAAUCCUACGAAGCCAGUCACAGUUCCUUCCACCUACCGUUGGUAUGAUUCUCAGCCAAUCCUCCUGGACCACCAUGAAGUUAGUAAUGAUCCUCAGGACCUUAAAGAACUCCCACCAACCCGAAACUGUCACUUAUUUUUAUUCUGUGUUCCAGCAAACAUUUCUUCAAAGGUACUGCAAAACUUGGAUUUUAACUCGCAUCAUGGUAAGCGUCCCUUAUUUGCAACUUCUUCCACAUUUCUACUCCCACACAUUUUGUCUGACAUUACAGGUCUAAAAGUUUCACCAGACCAUGAAGGCCAGAAAGAUCAGCCACAGCAAAUUAAGCACGGUAUCUUGCAGAAGGCGUUCAGGACAGUAUGGAUUUAAAAAGAAAGAAAAAGAAAAUGAAACAGCUCACUGGCUGAGAGGAUUUGCAGUGUGCAAAGCUUGUCCACCGACAAUGUCCCCAGCAGUCUCCCCAGCUAACGAUACAGCUGUCCCCAGAGCAUGGGAGAAAACAUAUCAGAGACAAAGUGCAUCACCGUGAAUUGGCCCUUUAUCAUUUUUCAGGUGUCCACCUAAGAUUUUUAUUACCAGUGGAUUUGACUGGCGCCCGUAGCUAUGACAGCAGCAGGGCCACCCAUCUGCGGGAGAUCCAAGGGGACACAGGAGCUCCUCACAGCCUGAACUGCAGCCACCAAGACCAGCCUUCCACCUCCCGGGAGGUGAUCUGAGCUCUGAUGCGGAUGUGCUGACUCUGGGAAGCAGUGGUUCUUCCCCCUAGGGCUUCAGAAAAAGGGAGCACGCCCAACUGACCCGCCCAAGAGGGACCUGCCUGUUACAGCAACCGUGGAUGCUGUCGCUGUGUUAAGGCUGAGCUCACUGCUCUCUGGCCGGCCCUCCUGGUUCUGCGCCACUGCUAAAGCACUUUUCCUUUUUUGUAUGUGUUUCUGCGGCUGCUUCUGCUGAUUCAUUCUGGCACACAAGAGAGGCUUAAAUGGCUGUGUGAUACGUUUGAGGCUCGUCCAAUGCUAAUCUUAGUUAUGUGCACCAGAUUGCCCCAAGUUCUAAUGUUUGCUUAAUUUGCUUUUCUCUGGGUGAGAAGAAAAUGGAGACUCACUCAAACACUGUUAAGGAAACACAGGUUUUCUUCUUUCUCCCUUUAUCCCUGAACUGCCUUGUAUGGUCCUUUCAAGUGGCUUAUGGAAAGGAUUAAAAGUGAAGGGUGAAAAAAGACAAACAGAAGCUGUUUCUUUUGUCAGCCUCUGAAGUCCCACGAACAGACUGAAAGUUCAAUCGAGGUCUGUGAAAAUAUUAGCAGACGCCAAAAGGCCAGCGGCCAGGAUUUGUGUCUUUGUGCAAGAACUGAAUAGCUACCAACAGCUAGAAAAUUUUCAAAAGCUUGGCAGUGAUGCAACAGUCCUAUGAAAAAGAGAGUGAGAAAGAGAGAAACGUUCUUAAAUGAUUAGAUUUAUGAGCUUGUAUAAGAAUGUUCUCUACAGAUCCUAAAGCCGCUUAAGCGUCUUAGAAAACUGAAAUAUUAAGACUUAGAGAUGACAUUUAUGUAUUUUUUAACGAUGCUAUUAGUAAUAGUGGCUGAAAUAAAUCUGACUUGAAAUUUUUGGUGAAGAGUCAUGCAUAAUCAUUAGUCAAAAUUUGUUUACAACAAUCAAAACAUGUAAACUUCUGGGAUAACUCUAUUUUUGAGUGAUUCAGAAUGUUAAUCGCAUGACAUCUUAACAAGAUGGAAGUUUUUCUCGGCAGUGAACUUUAUUAAUUACAUUAAUGUAGUCAUGAUUAGCCCUUAAUGAUUUAAUGCUUCUGUAUAUUUAAAUUGGGAGUAUAUCUACUUGAUCCAUCGUUUUAAAAAGAUAUUGGUCAACCUAGCUAAAGCUGUAUAAAGUGAAUUUAAACCAAUAUCAAAAGUUGGAAGUGCUCUUUAUAAAGUGGGAUUUUCAUUUUUAAGGUCAAAUAUAAGCGACAAAAAUAUUAUGGCAAAUAACUGGAGCUGUAUUUACUAAUCAAAUUAUAAAAUGUAUAAACGCUUCAAAAAUUCUUAGUCAAGGACAAUUUCCUUUUAAUAAUAUAACCCAUCGUUUUAAUUUGCGUUUAUCAGAAAUUAAUUUACUGCUGUUAUUUCCUUAAGGACCACUUUUCUACUAAAUCAAGCAUCUUACCAGAUACUAGACUGUGAGGACAUAAAAUAAACAGUAGAGGGCGCUUUAGUUCACUAACAAAAUAAAGCCGUUCCUAAAACCUCUUCUAAAUCGGUAAAACAGACAGUGGGAAGAUUUCAACUGUCUGGUAAAGGUUAAACAAAGAUGGUAAAGCAACUCCUCUGCUUUGAGUAAGUAAUAAAUGCAAAUUCGUGAGUCCAUCAUUUCAAGAGUAUUUCAUUUAGAAAACCUCACAUUUAUUUGGAAAUUGCCUAAUCUGUUAAAUGUACUUGAUUGAAAUCAGUAAAUUCUCAUUAUUCAGGAUUUUUAAGAAGUAGAUUGCUCUCAAUACGUAAGAAGGAGCACUGUGGAACUAUCUUUCUUGUAUCUUGGUUCUCUACGCACUAACAGUUAACUUUAGUUAUGGGACUUAAUCACAAUUUCCUUCAAAAUUAUCUUUAGCAUCAUCAUCAUCAUCAUCGUCGUUGUCGUCAUUUCAAGGCAAGAUCCCUGCUUUCUAGUAGCUUCUACUCUAUUCUAGCUGAAAAAAAUAAAAUCAGUGAAAUAGCAAACAAAAGGGAAGACAAUGCACAAUUAAAUCUAAGUUGUGUUGUUCAGUGUGUGAGUGACCCCAGGCAAGUCAUUAUCAUUCCCAGGCGCUCAGUUUUUACAUUUUACAAUGAGGUUCUCUCUUGGUGAUCUGACUAAAACACUGUCAUCCACUCUUAUUUUGUAUACUGUUCUAUCAAAUUUGGUUCACUUGUACUCAAGCUCUCAAUAGAUUUACCACGGUUCUGAGCCUUUUGGGGUUCAGACUCACUUGAAAAUAUUCACAGACAACUUGGGGCUUCUCCCCUGCAAAAAAAAAGAAAACAAACAAAAACAAAAAACACUCUAAGGUAUGUCUCACUCAAAAUGAGUAAGUCAUAUCAGGAGGUUCAAGGAACAUCAAAAAUCAGUCCACAGGUUUCCUAGUGGCUUGUCAGGCAUAACAAUUCUUAACUAUGUCAAGAAUCUCUGAAAGAGACACAAAUCAUACAGCUCCCAUGUAUUUGGGGGUUUAGUCCUAGAAAUUUGAUAUGUUGUUGCGUGAAGGUGGGCGAUGAGGCUGGAGGGGAGGGGUAUGCCUUGCCAAGCAAUUUUUUACUUUAUCCCACAAGAAUUGUACUAGAAUGUUUCAACACGGCAGUGGACAAGACACUUUUUCACAGCAAAAUAAGAGAAUGCAAAACAAACAGAAGAAAGCCCGGAAGCAGGAAGGUCAUCAGUGAGUCUGUCCGCACAAUCAUCUGAGAGGCAUCGUGAAAGCCUGUUUUAAAAUCUUUCAAAAAAUUAGGGAUUAUGGGGAGAAGGGUAUAGCUCAGUGGCAGAGCACGUGCUUAACAUGCACGAGGUCCUGGGUUCAAUCCCCAGCAUCUCCAUUAAAAAAAUUUUUUUUUUAAGAAAAACAAAUUACCUCCCCCCCCAAAAAAAUAAAUUAGGGAUGUUCGCUUCUCUAAGAUAGGCUACUUUGAUUCUGUGUCAUUGAAAACAGAAGCGUUCAAACACCAAGGGACAUUCUGAAACCAGACAAAGGAUAUCCUGCAGUUCCAUUUAUUUUCUACUCAGGUGACAGGGGAUACUGGCAGCCUGUGCUGCGUUCUUCAGCUGAUGGGGAGAACUUCAGAAGUCUGAACCGCCCCGGGUGCCUGGGUCCCCCAAGGAGGUGUGGCUUCUGUGUCCUGAACAGGGAGGACUAGAGGGCUCUGCCUGCCAUCCACAUCCACGUCCAGGGACAGGUGCUCUUUCUGUCUUCUCCCAUCCUUCAGGCCAGAAGGAAUGGCAGAAGCGAUGGGCUGCUCACAGGGUCGCUUGCGGCUGGACCGCCGUGGGACGCCCUCUCCAUUCCACAGCGGCCGGAAGUGGGCGAGCUGGAUUUCUGGACAGGGAGACUUCGCACACAGCUAUAGUGAAAAUUUAAUAAAAAUCCGUAUUUUAUUUUAUACAUAUAAUGGAUAUAUACUUACAUACUCAUUUAUUUUAUGUUUAAUAUAUAUUUAAUUGUAUUAAAUUAUAGAUAUAGAAUGUCUUCUAGGAAAUUUGCACAUAGAUGUCAUUGUAACCCCAGAGACAGCUGCUUUCCAGGACGAGACGUAGAUGAAGCCAGUGGAGGGAGGAACGGAGGACAGGGAGUGCGACGGCUCUUAAAAAUAUUAGUCACAGCAGGAUGAGAGGUGUUUCCCAUUCAUUCUGUAAAUUAUUUCUAACUGUGACCUACAUUGUCCUUUAAUUGAAUGUUGGCUUAAUCAAGUUUCAUUAAAGUUUCAACUGCCUACA